rnacentral:rRNA from 1 species
GACGGGGGGGGCAAGUGUUCUUCGGAAUGACUGGGCGUAAAGCGCGCGUAGGCGGACCUGCAAGUCGGGGGUGAAAGCCCGAGGCUCAACCUCGGAACUGCCUUCGAUACUGCGGGUCUCGAGUCCGGGAGAGGUGAGUGGAAUUCCUAGUGUAGAGGUGAAAUUCGUAGAUAUUAGGAAGAACACCAGUGGCGAAGGCGGCUCACUGGCCCGGUACUGACGCUGAGGCGCGAAAGCGUGGGGAGCAAACAGG